UAAUCUCGAAGGGCAGAGCAGAAGGGAGUCCAAGGGUAUUGUCGAAGUACUCCUUUGAAGCCCUUCAAGAGACUCCUGUCAUCCUCUUCAGGCCCCCUUUUUUGUUAGAUCACCAACUCCUGAAGAACAGGAACGAUGGUGUCUUUCAUCUUCAGAGCUGUGGUGCCUGGCACACAGUGGGGAGUCAGCAAAUGUUUCCAGCACUCCAUCAGUUCCUCCCUCCCCCCAUUUCUGGGCCCCAUUUGCUAUCAAGUAUAGCAGCUUCUAUGAUGCAUCCUACGACAAAGUGACAUGGGAUAAUGACCAGCCUAUGUUACAGCCUGCUCCAUGCUGG
rnacentral:lncRNA from 1 species